rnacentral:rRNA from 1 species
UACGUAGGGACCUAGCGUUGUCCGGAAUCAUUGGGCGUAAAGCGCGCGUAGGCGGACCUGCAAGUCGGGGGUGAAAGCCCGAGGCUCAACCUCGGAACUGCCUUCGAUACUGCGGGUCUCGAGUCCGGGAGAGGUGAGUGGAAUUCCUAGUGUAGAGGUGAAAUUCGUAGAUAUUAGGAAGAACACCAGUGGCGAAGGCGGCUCACUGGCCCGGUACUGACGCUGAGGCGCGAAAGCGUGGGGAGCAAACAGG